rnacentral:snRNA from 1 species
GUGCAGGCUUGAAGUCAAU